UUCCGGUUGAUCCCGCCGGACCUGACUGCUAUCGGAUUGAUACUAAGCCAUGCUAGUCUUUGUAGUAAUACAAGGCAUACGGCUCAGUAACGCGUAGUCAACCUACCCUAUGGACAAGAAUAAUCUCGGGAAACUGAGCAUAAUUCUUGAUAGAUCAUAAUGCCUGGAAUGGUAUAUGGUUAAAAUGAUUCGUCGCCAUAGGAUGGGACUGCGGCCUAUCAGCUUGUUGGUGAGGUAAUGGCCCACCAAGGCGAUAACAGGUACGGGCUCUGAGAGGAGAAGCCCGGAGAUGGGUACUGAGACAAGGACCCAGGCCCUAUGGGGCGCAGCAGGCGAGAAAACUUUGCAAUGUGCGAAAGCACGACAAGGUUAGUCCGAGUGAUUUCUGCUAAAGAGAUCUUUUGCUAGUUAUAAAACCACUAGUGAAUAAGGGGUGGGCAAGUUCUGGUGUCAGCCGCCGCGGUAAAACCAGCACCUCAAGUGGUCAGGAUGAUUAUUGGGCCUAAAGCAUCCGUAGCCGGCUCUGUAAGUUUUCGGUUAAAUCUAUACGCUCAACGUAUGGGCUGCCGAAAAUACUGCAGAGAUAGGGAGUGGGAGAGGUAGACGGUACUCGGUAGGAAGGGGUAAAAUCCUUUGAUCUAUCGAUGACCACCUGUGGCGAAGGCGGUCUACCAGAACACGUUCGACGGUGAGGGAUGAAAGCUGGGGGAGCAAACCGGAUUAGAUACCCGGGUAGUCCCAGCUGUAAACGAUGCAGACUCGAUGAUGCAUUGGCAUAUAGCCAGUGCAGUGUCGCAGGGAAGCCGUUAAGUCUGCCGCCUGGGAAGUACGUACGCAAGUAUGAAACUUAAAGGAAUUGGCGGGGGAGCACCACAAGGGGUGAAGCCUGCGGUUCAAUUGGAUUCAACGCCGGG
rnacentral:rRNA from 1 species